UGGAUAGAUUAUUGUAUUCGACUGUAUUCACGGCAUGAAACAGGGGAUUACACUAUUUUUAAACGAAAAGUGAAUCAAUUAACAUAAUAGACUCCU
rnacentral:pre_miRNA from 1 species